GGAGAGAUGGCUCAGUGGUUAAGAGCACUGACUGUUCUUCCAGAGGACCUGGGUUCAAUUCCCAGCACCC
rfam:Neotoma lepida isolate 417 scaffold_238, whole genome shotgun sequence.